rnacentral:rRNA from 1 species
CACGUAGGGCGCAAGCGUUGUCCGGAAUUAUUGGGCGUAAAGAGCUCGUAGGUGGUUUGUUACGUCUGCUGUGAAAACCUAGGGCUUAACCCUGGGCUUGCAGUGGAUACGGGCAGACUAGAGGUAGGUAGGGGAGAAUGGAAUUCCUGGUGUAGCGGUGAAAUGCGCAGAUAUCAGGAGGAACACCGGUGGCGAAGGCGGUGCUCUGGGCCGGUACUGACGCUGAGGAGCGAAAGCGUGGGGAGCGAACAGG